UGUACCUACGGGGGGCAGCAGUGGGGAAUAUUGCACAAUGGGGGAAACCCUGAUGCAGCGACGCCGCGUGAGUGAAGAAGUAUUUCGGUAUGUAAAGCUCUAUCAGCAGGGAAGAAAGAAAUGACGGUACCUGACUAAGAAGCCCCGGCUAACUACGUGCCAGCAGCCGCGGUAAUACGUAGGGGGCAAGCGUUAUCCGGAUUUACUGGGUGUAAAGGGAGCGUAGACGGCAGCACAAGUCUGGAGUGAAAUCCCGGGGCUUAACCCCGGAACUGCUCUGGAAACUGUGCGGCUGGCGUGCAGGG
rnacentral:rRNA from 1 species